rnacentral:rRNA from 1 species
AGCGCAGACGGGAAGACAAGUUGGAAGUGAAAUCUAUGGGCUCAACCCAUAAACUGCUUUCAAAACUGUUUUUCUUGAGUAGUGCAGAGGUAGGCGGAAUUCCCGGUGUAGCGGUGGAAUGCGUAGAUAUCGGGAGGAACACCAGUGGCGAAGGCGGCCUACUGGGCACCAACUGACGCUGAGGCUCGAAAGUGUGGGUAGCAAACA